rnacentral:rRNA from 1 species
UACGAAGGGGGCUAGCGUCGCUCGGAAUUACUGGGCGUAAAGAGUGCGUAGGUGGUUAAUUAAGUUAUCUGUGAAAUCCCUGGGCUCAACCUGGGCAGGUCAGAUAAAACUGGUUAACUCGAGUAUGGGAGAGGGUAGUGGAAUUUCCGGUGUAGCGGUGAAAUGCGUAGAGAUCGGAAGGCACACCAGUGGCGAAGGCGGCUACCUGGCCCAAUACUGACACUGAGGCACGAAAGCGUGGGGAGCAAACAGG